GCAAGACAUAAGCCCUACUACUAAUCUUCACCACCAUAACAACCUCUUUACACCAAACCAUUAAAACAUUAUAUAAACUUAGUAUAGGAGAUAGAAAAGAUUUUAUUAGGAGCCCUAAAGACAGUACCGCAAGGGAAAGCUGAAAAAUAUGAAAUACUCACCAAGCCAAAAAAAGCAAAGAUAAACCCUUGUACCUUUUGCAUCAUGAUUUAGCCAGCAUAACAGAGACAAAAAGAAUUAAAGCCCCUCCCCCCGAAACCAGAUGAGCUAUUUAAAGGCAACUUUAGCAAAAGUUACAAUCCGUCUCUGUGGCAAAAGAGUGGAGAGACCCUUAAAUAGAGGUGAAAAGCCAAACGAAUCUAGUGAUAGCUGGUUGCUCAAUAAAAGAAUAAUAGUUCUACCUUAAAUCGCCCACCCCACAUGCAGCACAUAUGCCCCUUGAGAAAUUUAAGAGCUACUCAACCGAGGAACAGCCCGAUUGAGAAGGGAAACAACCCACAAUGGAGAACCAACUAUGCAAAACUUAAAUAGUAGGCCUUAAAGCAGCCAUCACUUAAGAUAGCGUUAAAGCUCAUAUAUCCAAAAUAUCAAAACCUUUGCCCAUUCCCAAACACAAUUGAGCUAUUCUACUUACCUAGAAGAACCAAUGCUAAAAUUAGUAACAAGAAAACUCUUCUCAACGCACUAGCUUACGUUAGUUCAGAAGAACUACUGAUUAUUAACGAAAUUAUACCACAAAAACACUAAACAAAACAUAUAACAACUCAACCGUUAACCCAACACAGGAGUGCUGACCAGAAAGAUUGAAAUUUGUAAAAGGAAUUAGGCAACUUAAGAGCCCGACUGUUUACCAAAAACAUAGCCACUAGCUCCCACAAGUAUUAGAGGUAGUGCCUGCCCAGUGAUUUAUUAAACGGCCGCGGUAACAUGACCGCGCGAAGGUAGCAUAAUCACUUGUCUUUUAAAUAGAGACUAGAAUGAAUGGCUACACGAGGUUCUAUCUGUCUCUUACAAACAAUCAGUGAAAUUGAUCUCCUCGUGCAAAAGCGAGAAUAACCACAUAAGACGAGAAGACCCUGUGGAACUUCAAGUAUUAACCAACAUACUUCAAAGACCCGCCCGCCCUGUUAGGAAAGGAAAUAAACACAGUAUCCCAUGGUUAUCACUUUUGGUUGGGGCGACCUCGGAGAAAACAAAACCUCCGAAAAGAGUACAUUCUCAUACCUAGAAUUACACCUCAAAGUGCUUUAAAGCAAAACGAUCCAAUAUAUUUGAUCAACGAACAAAGCUACCCCAGGGAUAACAGCGCAAUCCCUUCUCAAAGUCCCUAUUAAUGAUGGGGGUUUACGACCUCGAUGUUGGAUCAGGACAUCCUAAUGGUGCAACAGCUAUUAAGGGUUCGUUUGUUCAACGAUUAAUAGUCCUACGUGAUCUGAGUUCAGACCGGAGCAAUCCAGGUCGGUUUCUAUCUAUGCAUGAAUAUUUUCCAGUACGAAAGGAACUAAAAUAUGCGACCCACAAGCCAAACACGUCGCACCCCUAAUUUCUGUAUUCAACUAAAUCAAUACACAAGGGAUCUAACACAUCAUACCUAAAGCAGGUAA
rnacentral:rRNA from 1 species